GACGGGGGAUGCGAGCGUUAUCCGGAAUGAUUGGGCGUAAAGGGUCCGCAGGUGGCCCGGUCAGUCCGCUGUCAAAGCCUGGGGCUCAACCCUGGAGAGGCGGCGGAGACCACCGGGCUUGAGUCCGGUAGGGGCAGUGGGAAUUCCCGGUGGAGCGGUGAAAUGCGUAGAGAUCGGGAAGAACGCCAAGGGCGAAGGCACUCUGCUAGGCCUGAUUUCGCGACUGACACUCAGGGACGAGAGCCAGGGGAGCGAAUGGG
rnacentral:rRNA from 1 species